CAACCUCUUCCACUCGAAGUUGUUAACCCGCAAUUGCAACAACACCAAUGUUGCCCCCUUCACAAAACCUUUUCCUGAAUCUGAAGACGAAAUACACCUCUCCUCAGAACCUGACCUCGCUUGUGACACUUCCAAAGGGGAUUCGAUUGACAAAAAUGAGGAUACCAAUGAGCUUUCUGAUAUAUUGUGCUAUCUGCUUGUUGCUUCCAUCAUCAACUAAUUAUGGUUCUUCACAGAGAACUCGAUCAUCUCUUUUCAUCCCCUUUUGUUGACCCUCCCAAAGAUGAUGCGAAAUCCAGUGACAUGUCAAUUGAAAAGAAGAUUGAGUUCCCCGAGAGUUCGACGGGAAAGGUUGGUAAUUGGUAUAGUCCAAUUACAAUUACACUUAUUUGCAGUUGUGGCUUAGUUUCUAAUGAUGUUGACUCUGUUAACUGUGAAUAUUAGUGAGUGUUGGGGUUGCCAUUGCUAUUUGAUAUGAAAAUUUGAUGUGUGCAUCUGAGAAUCUAGUUGAUGUUUUUUUGGUCUCGGGCUAAAUACCUGUCUAUGUUUAUGGACUUGCAAAAUUUUAUUACUUUUGACAAUCACACAUUAUGUAACGAGUGAGUUAAUGUUGGAUUCAUUAGUGGCACGGUGUUUUAUGCUUGUGUGAUUCAUUUUACAUGGGUGAUGGUUUAAAUUAAACAACUCUAAUUGCAAAUGUUGUCUCUUUGAAUAUUUUGAAUUUUAAAUGGUUUAAUGACUUUCUUAUUGAAUUUUUCUUUUUUUUUUACCAAAUGAACUCGCUUGCAUUCUUGUAUUUUAAAAUGGAGGAUAAGGAAGCAUUGGUUAGCAACUGCAGCCGUGCAGGUCACAAAUUGGAGGUCUCGGAUGGUUAAAUAAUCGUCUCUUGAUGGAACUAGUAUCGCAUUUAAUAUUUUAGGGAAAUUAGAGGCUGGUUUGCUCCACCACCUUGGGGUGAUGAAGUUCCACCUUCAACAUUUUCCAUGAUGAACAUUGAUGAGGAUCGGUUAUCUUUCCACACUUCUACCGAUGGCUAUGGCUAUCUACUUGCCACUCUUUGCUCCUUCAUCGCAUAUCUGUUCAUCCUAUAUACGGAUUCAUCCACGGUGAAGAAAACAAACGAACUGUGCCUCCAAACUGAAGUAUGCAUUGGGGAGUGGAGAUCCCUUAGAAUUUUCACUUGGCUUCUUUUUGGUGAAAAUGGCUACACCAUCAAAGCCCCACAAAUCCUUUUUCUAUUAUUUAAAUUCUCGACUGUAGCUUUAAAUUAAGGGCUAAAUUUUGACUAGUUAGUAUAAUAUCACAUAAGAAAAUCUAAACUUUUGUUUGCAAUGAGUUUCUUCAAUUUAUGUGAUGAUACUGUUUGAAUUUAUUUAAUUGUUAUGUUUUGUCUAUUUUGAAGAUCUUUAUUGGCAAUGUAGGCCAAAACUUUUCAUAUGUCUUGGAUACUGUGCUAGACUGUAAGCGAAAUCUCGUCAUCAUCUCCAUUUAUUGCAAAUAUAUAUGCUUGUAGUAGA